GGCUCGAUGGCGAGGCGCACGCCGUGCUGUUCGGCGUACGGCGCCAGUUCGGAGAGGGCUUCCGCGAUGCGUUCGCGGGCCGCGUUCAGGUCC
rnacentral:tRNA from 1 species